rnacentral:rRNA from 1 species
GACGAACGCUGGCGGCGUGCUUAACACAUGCAAGUCGAACGGAAAGGCCCUGCUUUUGUGGGGUGCUCGAGUGGCGAACGGGUGAGUAACACGUGAGUAACCUGCCCUUGACUUUGGGAUAACUUCAGGAAACUGGGGCUAAUACCGUAUAGGAGCUCCUGCUGCAUGGUGGGGGUUGGAAAGUUUCGGCGGUUGGGGAUGGACUCGCGGCUUAUCAGCUUGUUGGUGGGGUAGUGGCUUACCAAGGCUUUGACGGGUAGCCGGCCUGAGAGGGUGACCGGCCACAUGGGGACUGAGAUACGGCGCAGACUCCUACGGGAGGCAGCAGUGGGGAAUAUUGCACAAUGGGCGGAAGCCUGAUGCAGAAACGCCGCGUGCGGGAUGACGGCCUUCGGGUUGUAAACCGCUUUAGCCUGUGACGAAGCGUGAGUGACGGUAAUGGGUAAAGAAGCACCGGCUAACUACGUG